rnacentral:misc_RNA from 1 species
GUGAGUCAUCGAAUCUUUGAACGCACAUUGCGCCCUGUGGUAUUCCGCGGGGCAUGCCUGUUCGAGCGUCAUUAUACCAAUCAAGCUCAGCUUGGUGUUGGAGUUCGCUGCUUAGCGACUCCCAAACCUAAUGGCAGUCUAAGCUAGACUCUAAGCGUAGUAAUCUCUCUCGCUUUUGGGUCCUGUGGUGGCUCGCCAAACCCAACUUCUUAAGGUUGACCUCGGAUCAGGUAGGGAUACCCGCUGAACUUAAGCAUAUCAAUAAGCGGAGGA